GAGACGACCGGCGCACGGGUGAGUAACGCGUAUCCAACCUGCCCUUCAUAUUGGGAUAGCCUUCCGAAAGGGAGAUUAAUACCGAAUAACAUGAGAAGAUUGCAUGAACCUCUCAUGAAAGCUCCGGCGAUGAAGGAUGGGGAUGCGUUCCAUUAGGUAGUAGGCGGGGUAACGGCCCACCUAGCCGACGAUGGAUAGGGGUUCUGAGAGGAAGGUCCCCCACACUGGAACUGAGACACGGUCCAGACUCCUACGGGAGGCAGCAGUGAGGAAUAUUGGUCAAUGGGCGCAAGCCUGAACCAGCCAAGUAGCGUGAAGGAUGACUGCCCUAUGGGUUGUAAACUUCUUUUAUACGGGAACAAACCUUGGUACGUGUACCAAAUUGCGUGUACCGUAUGAAUAAGCAUCGGCUAACUCCGUGCCAGCAGCCGCGGUAAUACGGAGGAUGCGAGCGUUAUCCGGAUUUAUUGGGUUUAAAGGGAGCGUAGGUGGUCCGUUAAGCCAGCUGUGAAAUACUGUAGCUCAACUACAGCCGUGCAGUUGGAACUGGCAGACUUGAGUGCACUAGAGGAAGGUGGAAUUCGUGGUGUAGCGGUGAAAUGUUUAGAUAUCACGAAGAACUCCGAUU
rnacentral:rRNA from 1 species